GAUGAACGCUGGCGGCGUGCCUAAUACAUGCAAGUCGAGCGAACAGACGAGGAGCUUGCUCCUCUGACGUUAGCGGCGGACGGGUGAGUAACACGUGGAUAACCUACCUAUAAGACUGGGAUAACUUCGGGAAACCGGAGCUAAUACCGGAUAAUAUAUUGAACCGCAUGGUUCAAUAGUGAAAGACGGUUUUGCUGUCACUUAUAGAUGGAUCCGCGCCGCAUUAGCUAGUUGGUAAGGUAACGGCUUACCAAGGCGACGAUGCGUAGCCGACCUGUGAGGGUGAUCGGCUACACUGGAACUGAGCCACGGUCCAGACUCCUACGGGAGGCAGCACUAGGGAAUCUUCCGCAAUGGGCGAAAGCCUGACGGGGCAACGCCGCGGGAGUGAUGAAGGUCUUAGGAUCGUAAAACUCUGUUAUUAGGGAAGAACAAAUGUGUAAGUAACUAUGCACGUCUUGACGGUACCUAAUCAGAAAGCCACGGCUAACUACGUG
rnacentral:rRNA from 1 species